AUUGAACGCUGGCGGCAGGCUUAACACAUGCAAGUCGAACGAGUGGCGGACGGGUGAGUAAUGCUUGGGAAUCUAGCUUAUGGAGGGGGAUAACUACGGGAAACUGUAGCUAAUACCGCGUACCAUAGGAUGAGCCCAAGUGGGAUUAGGUAGUUGGUGAGGUAAAGGCUCACCUAGGCGACGAUCUCUAGCUGGUCUGAGAGGAGGAUCAGCGACACUGGGACUGAGACACGGUCCAGACCCCUACGGGAGGCAGCCGGGGUGAAUAUUGGACAAUGGGCGAAAGCCUGAUGCAGCCAUGCCGCGUGUGUGAAGAAGGCCGUAGGACUGUAAAGUACUUUAAGCGGGGAGGCGUUACCCGCAGAAUAAGCACCGGCUAACUUCGUGCCAGCCGCCGCGGUAAUGC
rnacentral:rRNA from 1 species